GUGUACAAGGCCCGGGAACGUAUUCACCGCGACAUUCUGAUUCGCGAUUACUAGCAAUUCCAACUUCAUGCAGGCGAGUUGCAGCCUGCAAUCUGAACUGAGACCGGGUUUUGUGAUUCGCUCCUCCUCGCGGAUUCGCUGCACUUUGUUACCGGCCAUUGUAGUACGUGUGUAGCCCUGGUCAUAAGGGGCAUGAUGAUUUGACGUCGUCCCCACCUUCCUCCGAUUUGUCACCGGCAGUCUCGCCAGAGUGCCCAACUUAAUGAUGGCAACUGACAAUAGGGGUUGCGCUCGUUGCGGGACUUAACCCAACAUCUCACGACACGAGCUGACGACAACCAUGCACCACCUGUCUCAGCUUUCCCCGAAGGGCACCUAAUGUAUCUCUACUUCGUUAGCUGGAUGUCAAGACCUGGUAAGGUUCUUCGCGUUGCUUCGAAUUAAUCCACAUACUCCACUGCUUGUGCGGGCCCCCGUCAAUUCCUUUGAGUUUCAACCUUGCGGUCGUACUCCCC
rnacentral:rRNA from 1 species